GUAAGGAAUAUUGGACAAUGGACGCAAGUCUGAUCCAGCCAUGCCGCGUGAAGGAUUAAGGUCCUCUGGAUUGUAAACUUCUUUUAUAAGGGACGAAAAAAUGCUUUUCUAAGUCGUCUGACGGUACCUUAUGAAUAAGCACCGGCUAACUCCGUGCCAGCAGCCGCGGUAAUACGGAGGGUGCAAGCGUUAUCCGGAUUCACUGGGUUUAAAGGGUGCGUAGGCGGGCAGGUAAGUCAGUGGUGAAAUCCUAGAGCUUAACUCUAGAACUGCCAUUGAUACUAUCUGUCUUGAAUAUUGUGGAGGUAAGCGGAAUAUGUCAUGUAGCGGUGAAAUGCUUAGAUAUGACAUAGAACACCUAUUGCGAAGGCAGCUUACUACGCAUAUAUUGACGCUGAGGCACGAAAGCGUGGGGAUCAAACAGGAUUAGAAACCCUGGUAGUCC
rnacentral:rRNA from 1 species